AAAAUGGUCUUUAGUGUGUCAUCGUUACAGGGCACUUGAUGUGAAAACUCUAGGAACUCCUCUAAGUAGUCCUCAGUUGGACGGCCAUCUUGGAAGAGAGAGUGAAAAGAAGAUCUGCUGGUUCGUGAGGGUGAUCCGAGGGAGCAAAGGAGCAUCUAGGGGUUAACAUUUGUAAAUGAGUGGAGUUGUAAAAAGAGCAAUGUCUCCAACUGUUUUUUUUAAAUGCAUGUGGAAAAUAUGACUUGCCUUUUCGGAUUGGAAACAGAUGGUAUUCCAUGGCUGGUCUUCUGCUGGAGCAAAAGAUGUUUUGAGGAGAGAUGUCCCAAUGUCUUAACAUGAGACAGAGAUGCACGAGUGCUGUGAUGAGAACUGACACACUGCCUGAGACCAGUUUCAACCGUUCACACUGCAGUCCAAAUAUCUCAGCUAGCAAAGAAAAGAGCAAGAGAGUGAUGCAAGACAAAUCAGCCAAAACCUAAGCCCCUGCCUAAAACGUGUG